UGCUGCAGUGGCUGUCCCAGCUGGGGGAGUAGGAACCUCUGCUGGAGGUGGAGCUGUGUGUCCCCGUGAACUCACUGGGUGACUUUUGGUUCUUCGCCCAGAGCUCCAGCAUCACCAAUGAGUGGGCCUGCCCUUUCUUCGCAAACUCUGAGACUUGGGCGAACACUUGAUCUUCUGGGACUCUGCUUCAUCCUUUGAUGGAGUUCGUGCCCAUUGGGUUGGUUAGAGUGAGGAAUAAAAGGAUCCUGUCACUAAGUGCUUUGCACAGUGAGCCAUCAUCUGCCAGUCCAGUGUGGGGAGAAUAUGCCAGGGGGAGAUGAGGGCAGGAGCCUCACGUAGGGUGUGAGCCAGGCAGUGGCUCAGAGCAAACUGAGAAGGUCCUUCCAGCCCUGGAUUCAUGUCUCCAUGGAAACCUGCUCUUGCCAGAGAGUCCGCCCAGCCCAGGCCCCCCUCCUCCAGGGCUGGUGGGUUCUUCAGCUGGAGCUCCAGCAUCACCGAUGAGUGGGCCUGCCCUUUCUUCCCAAACUCAGAGAAUUGGAAUGGGUUUCCUUACCUGGGACCUGCAGUUGACUGGGGAAUGGAAUCCAGGAUUCUGAGUGCAGAAGUUUCCAGAUUCAGGGUAAGCUGGGUGCCUGGCCGCUUCUAUGUGCAGGGAGAACAGACCCUUCCCUGUCCCCCCAUGGUGCUGAGGUUGUGUUUAGUGAGAAUGUGACGAAUUGGGCACUAGGUGUGAGCAGAAGCUUGUAAAUAACCAGGGCCUUUCCAGAAGGUCUAUAUUGAUCUCAGAGAUGCAGUGUUUGGAGGUCCCGGCAUGGACUCCUCAAACGCCCCCAUUCCCUGCAUUUUUUUCAUACUAAGCUGUGAAGGUCAGACUAAGCCAUGAAGGUCAGAAUCUGUGAUUAGUGGGUGGCUGGCCUCCCUUAAAUAGCCAUGGCCCAGCUAGGUAUGAUUCUGUCUGGGUGGCAGAAACAGCCUUGAGUCAGGAGGCCAGGCAUGAGUCUGGCUUCAAAACCUCUGACCCCAGCCUCGUACCCUCACUCUGCCUGUCUGUUUCUCGGCUAUAAGCUGGUGAUAGCAUGGCCAGGGCUCUGAACCCAGCUUCUGCCCUACUUCUGUCUGCCUGAUUCUCCCUUUUCCUUUUCCCCUCCUUGUCCCUCUCUCCAUCUUCCCUGACAGAAGCAGGGCUGGCUGCCCUCUCAGUCAGGGUGUGCAAGGCCCCCAGGGAGGCGACUGUGUGGGUGCAUGCAUGCAUGCGUGUGGGGGUUUUAUGUGGCAGUAUCUCUAAGAUUGGGUUUGGGGUUCAUGAGACUUUUUUCCAAAAUUAGCAAAUGUAUGUGGGGAGGAAGGAGGUGCUGCCAGAGGGCAUGUCUAGCUGUCUCUUUUGGAAAUUAAGGAAGAGGAGGUCUAGUUUGGCCCCUAAAGUCAUACUUCCCCUUGGGGCUGCAGUUUUUAAUCUGAUAUCAUUAACCAAAGUCACUGCAAAGCUCCUCCCAGGGCUUUGAUUUGAGGUGAGUGGGAGCCCCCUGUCUUCUUGGGGGUUGGGUGAUGGUUGGAUGACAUCAGAGAAGCCCAGCGUCCAGGUCAGAGCCUUACUCUCCCUGCAGGCUCCCCACCUCUGUCCACCAGAGGAUUUCCUGUCGCGUCUGUUUGCUUAUUGCUUCUCAGAUAAGUUUUUAUUUGAAACAGUGGUCUGAGGCUCUAAAUCAUUUGAAAGUCUUCUCUCCCAGUGUUCAGACAAUUCCCCUGGUUCUAACAUUUGGUGAUUCUGCAAGAAGCCUUCAUGCUAGGGCAAACAACUCUCCCACUUUGCCCAGCGCCGUGGGGUUUCUGGACAUGGGACUUCUAGUGCUGAAAGUCCCAGGAAAACCAGGCCAAUUGUUCAUCCUCUCACAUUCUCACUUGAGUAGCUUAUAUUUUGAGCCAUGCUUGUUUAGAGAAGGGAAAGACACCAUUUAGAAAGCCCCUUCCAUGCCUAAGUGUCAAGAAAAAUGGGAUCCAUCACCUAGUCGAAUAGUAACACUGGAUGAGAAGGGAAGGAAGCUGGUGCCCAUAUGUUUUGAAAAAGCAGCAUUCACUUUAACUUUGAAAUCUCAGAGCAGUCCCCAGGCAGGAUGGGAAGCCAAUGGGGCCAGGGCUGGUGCAGCUGAUGGGAUCUGAAGGGAAAGAAGAGCUUUUAAAAAGGAGAAGAAUUUCACACUGAAUCUCUUAAUCUGUUUUACAGACUCAUAAAAUCUUAAUAUAGCCCCGAGACUGUCAUGUUUACAGACAGUGCAGCAAAGGCAGUGGCUUGGAGUGUGACCAGAGAGUUUGCAGAACAAACGCACCAGGGAGGGGCUUGGAUGGAAAUAACCAAGCGCUCUCCCCGCAGGGUAAGGCAGGACAGCCGGGCAGCCCCCGUCUGGUUCCCCCAACUGUGAGCAGAACGCUGGGCUACAAUCUAGGCUGAAGCUUCAGUGUACUGGCUUUUAGCAAAAAGCCCCCAUACUGCUCCUGGGGCAGAGGAUGGUAAGAUGCCAACUCCUGACACAUCCAUGACAGUGUGUGAUGCAGGUGGAGCUCCAGUCCAAUGGACACACCUGUGAUAGAUUUGAGAACGCCUGGAGGUUGGAGGUUGCUGAGAACCCAGUGUUGCUAAGAGGGUCACAGGCACUCAGAAGACAGGGAGGUUCCAGUGGGCUUCCUGGAGAGGGGCCCUGGGCUGGGCUCCACAGCAUCUGGGAAGGCAGAGGGCAUUUCUGGGGGAGAGGGCAUGAGCAAGUACGGGGAGGCUGGAUGGGCACAGCACAGGUGAGGGCAGCAGAGGCAGCACCUGGAGAGAGGGCUUUUGUUGGGGGAACGGUGAGAGAUAAGCUCACCCUAGUCCUGGCUUUGGAGAUGAGAAGAAGACACAAAAAUGAAGCAAAAUACUUGUCACUGUAGAGGAGCUUACAGUCCAGACGACCUGGGAGAAAUGAAUUUGAAAACAAAGGAAGAUUUAGGAGCUGCGCCUGUCAAUGUCAAGGUCCAGCCUGAGCCAUGGAAAAAGAAUAGAAUUGGAGUAAGCCCUGCUGGAGGGCAGACGUCUUCUUCUCUCUGUACUCCCUGCCCAUCCCAGGAAUCUGGACACUGGCGUACUUCCGUGUUAACAUAACGGCUUUAAAAUUUUUCCCGUUAUGAGCUUUAAAGAAGUAAUUUCCAAAUAUUGGUCUUUGUGGAAAAAAUGAGAAAAGAAUCAAGGUUUCCCUGGUCUAAGACUAAAUGUGAAAAAUAAAGAAAAUGUAGUGAGUUUUUUUUUUAUAAAGCCAAGCUUAUUUAAUUUGGAGUAUCCUUUACACAGAGAUUAUGCUGUUCCUAUAUUUUUGUGUUCAGCUGGCUUUCUUUAAUGGAAUCAUGGCCUGUGAAUUCAAAUUAAAAGUAUUGGUUUCUGAAACCCUAAAGGCUGGGAACUACUGUUUUCACGGCUGAUUGUCUCCAUUUCUAAAAUAUAUAUCAAUAUAUUUUGACAUAUGGACACUAGGCGUCAGGAAGACAGAAGAAGCUGGACAGAAAGAGAUCAAGAUUUAACUGGUUAUGCUGUAGACCAUGGCAGAUCGUAACAGAAGACAAAGCCCUUAAAAGAAAUGAAACUAUCCUCAUUAAAGGGCUGAUGGCUCACACCAUCCAGGAGAUCUCCUCUGCUACCAACUCCCAGCAGCUGAUUCAGCGGUCCUUCAUGAACAAUAGGCAACUGAAUAAGAAAAUGAGUUUAUAUUGUUCAAAAGAAAGAAGAAUGCCUCUUUUUUCCCUUGAACAAGGGAGGUGGGGACUAACAAAAGAUUCUUCGCUUGACCAAACUUUAGUCAGGCUUCUAAAUCUUCCCCUCGGCCCGUCUGUGCACUUCCUUGUGAAAUCCAGUUUCAGCAAAGAACAUUGCAAGAAAAAAGCAAAGCAGGAAAGGGAUGUAAGAAAGAGUGAGAUGAAUAACACACUUCCAAGAGGGAGGGCUCAAAGAAGGAAAAGGAAAGAUCAAAUGAGUUCCUUAUAUCCCAAAAGAAACUGCAGACGCAACGGACCAACAAACUGAGCUCAACUGAACUCUGUAAGUUUCAAGCAGAGAUUCUGUGACAACAGAGAGAUGAAAGGCAAGUUGAGGAAACAAAUGGAAGAAAAAGAUAAAACAUUACAGUGACGGGAACCACGUUCAAAGCCACACAACCCUGAAAGCACAAGUUUGACAAAAUUAUGCAAAACAAACUGGCACAAAAAACAUGCAAGAUUGAUUGUAAAGAAGAUGUAAAUGGCAGGCAAAGGGCAACUGGUUUUUCCAAGAAGAGAACAGAAUGGAUGAAACUGAAAAGGCAUUCAAGGAACCAUGGGAAGCUGACUUUUCAGAAGGAGGACAUGGACUUCCAAUUCAACUGAGCACGUUGUAUCCCAGAAAGAGAAACAUAGACAGAGUGACCCAUGCUGAAGCAUAACUAUGGUUAGCUUCUGAACACAGUGACAAAGGCAGAAUCCUAUCAACCAAAAAGCCAAAGGAAACCAAAGCACAAAUUCCCCCACAGCAUUCAGCACCCGAGGAUGGUGGCCACAAUCUACAGUUAGGGGGAAAGGAAAUGUGGAUCAGCAGACCCUGGCACAUAUAAAGACCACACACAGAUGGCUUUACACGUGUGGGCACUCAGGGCGGACAGUUCCUAAAAGCCAUUUUUGACAGAACACUGAGGAAUCAAACUGUAGAUCUUAGGAACAAGGAACUGUGCUGAAAACGAAUGACGGUGAACACAGAAUCCAUUCUAUUUUGGAAUUAAGACCCCAGCAACUAGUGAAAUUGUGUUAUAAAACAGAGUAACUCUUAUAAACGUGGCCGGUGUAAAUCAUGAUGUCAUCACCAAAUCGGAAAAGGAGGUGAGGGAACGCUGGCACUUCCCUCAUCUUUCAGAGCAGGAAGUAAAACUGGAAACAUGCAGUCAUAUCAAAAUCCAAUAACCUUGAAUAAUCACUCUUUGUCUACCCUUUUCUCCCCUUGACUUUGAAGGGAUCAUUUGGUCCUUUUUAUAUUGCUUGAAUUUGUUUUUUUCAUUGAUGCGUAAUAUUCAUACAUAUUUGUGGGGUACAUAUAAUGAUAUGGUUUGGAUCUGUGUCCUCGCCCAAAUCUAUUGUAAUCCCCGGUGUUGGAGGUGGGUCUUGGUGGAAGUGAUUUGAUUAUUGGGGUGGAUUUCCCCCGCGUACUGCCCUCAUUAUAGUGAGUGAGUUCUCAUGAGAGCUGGUUAUUCAAAAGCAUGUGGCACUUCCCCCUUGCUCUUGGUCCUGCUCCUGUCACAUAAGACGCCGGCUCUCAUUCACCUUCUGCCAUGACUAGAAGCUCCCUGAGGCCUCCCCAGAAGCAGAUGCUGCCAUGCUUCCUGUACAGCCUGCAGAACUGUCAGCCAAUUAAAGCUCUUUUCCUUAAAAAUUACCCCAUCUCAGGUAUUUCCUUAUAGCAAUGUGAGAACGGCUUAAUACAUGUAAUAUUUUGUUAGGUGCAUGGAAUGUGGAGUGACCAAGUCAGGGUAUUUGGGGUAUCCAUCACCUCAAGUAUUUGUUUCUGUAUUCUGGGGAUAUUUCAAGACCUUUCUUGUAGCUAUUUUGAAAUACACCCUACAUUGUUGCUAACUAGUCACCCUACUCUGCUAUUGAACCUUAUUCUUUCUGUCUUACUGUGUGUUUGUAUCCAUUAACCAACCUCUCUGUCCUUCUGCCCACUGACACACCCUUCCUAGUCUCUGGUAUUUAUCAUUGAAUUUGUUUCUAAUGAGCAUGAUUUUUUUUAAACAAUAACAACAAAAGGUCA